rnacentral:rRNA from 1 species
GACGAACGCUGGCGGCGUGCUUAACACAUGCAAGUCGAACGGAAAGGCCCUUCGGGGUACUCGAGUGGCGAACGGGUGAGUAACACGUGGGUGAUCUGCCCUGCACUUUGGGAUAAGCCUGGGAAACUGGGUCUAAUACCGAAUAGGACCACGCGCUUCAUGGUGUGUGGUGGAAAGCUUUUGCGGUGUGGGAUGGGCCCGCGGCCUAUCAGCUUGUUGGUGGGGUAAUGGCCUACCAAGGCGACGACGGGUAGCCGGCCUGAGAGGGUGACCGGCCACACUGGGACUGAGAUACGGCCCAGACUCCUACGGGAGGCAGCAGUGGGGAAUAUUGCACAAUGGGCGCAAGCCUGAUGCAGCGACGCCGCGUGAGGGAUGACGGCCCUCGGGUUGUAAACCUCUUUCACCAGGGACGAAGCGUAAGUGACGGUACCUGGAGAAGAAGCACCGGCCAACUACGUG